AACGAACGCUGGCGGCAUGCCUAACACAUGCAAGUCGAACGAGAUCUUCGGGUCUAGUGGCGCACGGGUGCGUAACGCGUGGGAAUCUGCCCUUUGGUUCGGAAUAACAGUUGGAAACGACUGCUAAUACCGGAUGAUGACGAAAGUCCAAAGAUUUAUCGCCAGAGGAUGAGCCCGCGUAGGAUUAGCUAGCUGGUGUGGUAAAGGCGCACCAAGGCGACGAUCCUUAGCUGGUCUGAGAGGAUGAUCAGCCACACUGGGCUGAAACACGGCCCAGACUCCUACGGGAGGCAGCAGUGGGGAAUAUUGGACAAUGGGCGAAAGCCUGAUCCAGCAAUGCCGCGUGAGUGAUGAAGGCCUUAGGGUUGUAAGGCUCUUUUACCCGGGAUGAUAAUGACAGUACCGGGAGAAUAAGCUCCGGCUAACUCCGUGCCAGCCGCCGCAGUAA
rnacentral:rRNA from 1 species